rnacentral:rRNA from 1 species
UACGUAGGGGGCCAGCGUUGUCCGAAGUUACUGGGCGUAAAGAGCGCGUAGGCGGGCCCUUAAGUGGGGGGUGAAAGGUUGGGGCUCAACCCCAACACUGCCUUUCAUACUGGGGGCCUUGAGUGCGGGAGAGGCGAGUGGAAUGGUCGGUGUAGCGGUGAAAUGCGUAGAUAUCGAUCGGAACACCCAUGGCGAAGGCAGCUCGCUGGCCUGCAACUGACGCUGAGGCGCGAAAGCCGGGGGAGCGAACAGG